UGUAUCACACGAUCUUCAGCGCCGACCGGCGCGGAACGCUCCACUAAACCUAAGUAUAGCCAAUAGCCAUUGGUUAUAAAUACUACUAAUACUAGUAUUUAUAACCAAUGGUAUAGCUAUGGAAUUGAACUCGCCAUCCCAAAAGCACUGACUGUUCCCGUUUGUACACGCAGUCUGCAGCCGUCACCGUCAUUGCUAUAUUCCUAAUUAUUCUGAAACACUAGCCGUAGGUAGGUAUCGAGGCACGAGAUCACUAAGACGGAAAAUUAAGUGGUCCAUCUGAUCACCGACGCCAUGGCAGUAUAGCAGAUCACUCAAGGCUUGCUGAGACAUGACUUCGCAUUCAUACCACUUGGGAAAGUUACAUUGAAAAUUAACUGGAAGAUACUGAUAAUUAUAUAGGUUUUAUGCAAUAUGGCAGUACAUAGAUCACUCGAUGCAUGCUGAGACAUAAAUUCACAUUUCUACCACUUCGGAAAGUAUCAAUAUCCUACAUGUAAAAUGGACUAGAAGAUACUGAAAAUAUUAAUGGUUUUAUACAAUAUGGCAAUACAGCAGAUCACUCAAGGCUUGCUGAGACAUGACUACGCAUUCAUACCAGUUGAGAAAAUAUCAUCAUCCUACGUUGAAAAUUAACUAGAAGAUACUGAUAAUUAUAUAGGUUUUAUGCAAUAUGGCAGUACAUAGAUCACUCGAUGCAUGCUGAGACAUGAAUUCACAUUUCUACCACUUCGGAAAGUAUCAAUAUCCUACAUGUAAAAUGGACUAGAAGAUACUGAAAAUAUUAAUGGUUUUAUACAAUGUACGUGUAAUGGUUAUCGACUGUAAUUGAUAUUUAAUUAAGAGUAGUGUGACAAUAAGUUAAUGCCGAGAAAUUCUGACAAUUACAUGAAGAAAGAAAUUCAAAUUUUGUAUUACUAACUUUCAUUAAUUUCAUUUAAGCUUAUACUUCAUAAACACUAUAAAACGUGUAUUUAUAUGAUAAUUUAGACAAAUAUAAAAAUUCAUAUUUUUAACUGCUUAAAAAACACUCAAUUCUCACGUUAGUCACAUCAA